AAAAAAGGCGGCGUAAGCUGUCGCUAUGGGAUGGCCCCGCGGUGCAUUAGCUAGUUUGGUAAGGUAAAGGCUUACCAAGGCGAUGAUGCAUAGCCGAGUUGAGAGACUGAUCGGCCACAUUGGGACUGAGACACGGCCCAAACUCCUACGGGAGGCAGCAGUAGGGAAUCUUCCACAAUGGACGCAAGUACUGAUGGAGCAACGCCGCGUGAGUGAAGAAGGUUUUCGGAUCGUAAAGCUCUGUUGUUGGUGAAGAAAGGAUAGAGGUAGUAACUGGCCUUUAUUUGACGGUAAUCAACCAGAAAGUCACGGGCUAACUACGUGCCAGCAGCCGCGGUAAAAU
rnacentral:rRNA from 1 species